AACGAACGCUGGCGGCAUGCCUAACACAUGCAAGACGAACGAGACCUUCGGGUCUAUUGGCGCACGGCUGCGUAACCCGCGGGAACCUGCCCUUAGUGUCCUAAUAACUCCCCGCAAGGGGUGCUACUACCGGCUAAAGUCUUCGCACCAAAGCUCUAUCGUCUGUGGAUGGGGGUGCGUCCCAUUAGCUAGGUGGUAGGGUAAACGCCUACCAAGGCGAGGACCCAUAGCUGGUCUGAGAGGAUGAUCAGCCACACUGGGACUGAGACACGGCCCAGACUCCUGCGGGAGGCGGCAGUUGGGAAUAUUGGAGAAUGGGCGGAAGGCUGAUCGAGAAAUGCCGCGUGAGUAAUGCAGGCAUUAAGAUUGUAAAGCAGGUGUCACCGGGACGAUAAUGACAGUACCGAGAGAAUAAGCUCCGGCUACCUCCGUG
rnacentral:rRNA from 1 species